GCCAAUACCAUCCUGAAAACACCGAUUCCCGUUUGAUCACCCAAGUUAAGAAUCAUCGGGCGCGUUCAGUACUUGGGAGGUUGACCACCUGAGAAAACCGCGUGCCGUUG